AGAAGAUUUAUCUAAUUUUAUAUAUAGCCUAAUUAUUUAAAUACAUUUCUCCAAAUAUUAUAUAUAACUUAAACACCUCGUCUUAAGUCAACGUGGGACAAUAAUAAGGUCCACAAUAUUCAACAGUUGCGAUGAAAUUGAUUUAUGCAUAUUAGUUUCACGGUGUAAUUUUCCCUCGCCCACUUCUAGUCGAUGCUUUGCCGUCACGGGCCUCCUUCGCUAGUGCUUUGUUGUUGCAUGCUUCCUUGCUUUCUUUAGUUGCAACUACAGGUUGACAGAGACAUCUCUAACGGAUGCAGAAGAGGGAAAGCUAUUUUAUCAAGAGAAUAGCAUGGGACUCGACGGGGUAAACAACGGUUGACCUUGUGGCAUGUGCUCAGUACUCAGGACAAGCAAACAAUCGAUGGCCGUACUCCUGUUUCUUGUUUAUAUACUUUAUGUUCAUUUAAAUAUGCUUAAUCUCAAUGCUAUUGUUUCUAGGUUUUAUGGUUCAAUUUGCUCUAUCAUC
rnacentral:misc_RNA from 1 species